rnacentral:rRNA from 1 species
UACGGAGGGUGCAAGCGUUGUUCGGAAUCACUGGGCGUAAAGCGCGUGUAGGCGGCCUCUUCAGUCUGGUGUGAAAGCCCGGGGCUCACCCCCGGAAGUGCAUUGGAUACUGGGAGGCUGGAGUACCGGAGAGGAGGGUGGAAUUCCUGGUGUAGCGGUGAAAUGCGUAGAUAUCAGGAGGAACACCUGUGGCGAAGGCGGCCCUCUGGACGGAUACUGACGCUGAGACGCGAAAGCGUGGGGAGCAAACAGG